rnacentral:sRNA from 1 species
UGGCGAAGGAGUUAAACCUAACCCAGAGA